GCCAGAGAUGGCUUAGUGCUCGAAAGAGAGCCGUAACACAGGUGCUGCAUGGCUGUCGUCAGCUCGUGUCGUGAGAUGUUGGGUUAAGUCCCGCAACGAGCGCAACCCUUGUCAUUAGUUGCUACGAAAGGGCACUCUAAUGAGACUGCCGGUGACAAACCGGAGGAAGGUGGGGAUGACGUCAAGUCCUCAUGGCCCUUAUAGGUGGGGCUACACACGUCAUACAAUGGCCGGUACAAAGGGUCGCAAACCCGCGAGGGGGAGCUAAUCCAUCAAAGCCGGUCGUAGUCCGGAUCGCAGUCUGCAACUCGACUGCGUGAAGUCGGAAUCGCUAGUAAUCGUGGAUCAGCAUGUCACGGUGAAUACGUUCCCGGGUCUUGUACACACCGCCCGUCACACCAUGGGAGCGGGUCUCGCCAGAAGUAGUUAGCCUAACCGCAAGGAGGGCGAUUACCACGGCGGGGUUCGUGACUGGGGUGAAGUCGUAACAAGGUAACCGUA
rnacentral:rRNA from 1 species